rnacentral:rRNA from 1 species
ACACAUGCAGUCGAGCGGGGAAUGUAGCUUGCUACAUUACCUAGCGGCGGACGGGUGAGUAAUGCUUAGGAAUCUGCCUAUUAGUGGGGGACAACAUUCCGAAAGGAAUGCUAAUACCGCAUACGUCCUACGGGAGAAAGCAGGGGACCUUCGGGCCUUGCGCUAAUAGAUGAGCCUAAGUCGGAUUAGCUAGUUGGUGGGGUAAAGGCCUACCAAGGCGACGAUCUGUAGCGGGUCUGAGAGGAUGAUCCGCCACACUGGGACUGAGACACGGCCCAGACUCCUACGGGAGGCAGCAGUGGGGAAUAUUGGACAAUGGGGGGAACCCUGAUCCAGCCAUGCCGCGUGUGUGAAGAAGGCCUUUUGGUUGUAAAGCACUUUAAGCGAGGAGGAGGCUACUAGUAUUAAUACUACUGGAUAGUGGACGUUACUCGCAGAAUAAGCGCCGGCUAACUCUGUGCCAGCAGCCGCGGUAAUACAGAGGGUGCGAGCGUUAAUCGGAUUUACUGGGCGUAAAGCGUGCGUAGGCGGCUGAUUAAGUCGGAUGUGAAAUCCCUGAGCUUAACUUAGGAAUUGCAUUCGAUACUGGUCAGCUAGAGUAUGGGAGAGGAUGGUAGAAUUCCAGGUGUAGCGGUGAAAUGCGUAGAGAUCUGGAGGAAUACCGAUGGCGAAGGCAGCCAUCUGGCCUAAUACUGACGCUGAGGUACGAAAGCAUGGGGAGCAAACAGGAUUAGAUACCCUGGUAGUCCAUGCCGUAAACGAUGUCUACUAGCCGUUGGGGCCUUUGAGGCUUUAGUGGCGCAGCUAACGCGAUAAGUAGACCGCCUGGGGAGUACGGUCGCAAGACUAAAACUCAAAUGAAUUUGACGGGGG